AGAUUGAACGCCGGCGGAAUGCCUUACACAUGCAAGUCGAACGGCAGCACGGGAGCAAUCCUGGUGCGAGUGGCGAACGGGUGAGUAAUACAUCGGAACGUGCCCAAUCGUGGGGGAUAACGUAGCGAAAGCUACGCUAAUACCGCAUACGAUCUACGGAUGAAAGCAGGGGAUCGCAAGACCUUGCGCGAAUCGGAGCGGCCGUAUGGCGGAGUUAGGGUAGUUGGGUAGGGUAAAGGCUCACCAAGCCUUACGAUCUAGUAGCUGGUC
rnacentral:rRNA from 1 species